rnacentral:rRNA from 1 species
GGUGAGUAACACGUGGAUAACCUACCUAUAAGACUGGGAUAACUUCGGGAAACCGGAGCUAAUACCGGAUAAUAUAUUGAACCGCAUGGUUCAAUAGUGAAAGACGGUUUUGCUGUCACUUAUAGAUGGAUCCGCGCCGCAUUAGCUAGUUGGUAAGGUAACGGCUUACCAAGGCAACGAUGCGUAGCCGACCUGAGAGGGUGAUCGGCCACACUGGAACUGAGACACGGUCCGG